rnacentral:rRNA from 1 species
AAAUCUGGCCCCUCCGGGUCCGAGUUGUAAUUUGUAGAGGAUGCUUUUGGUGAGGUGCCGCCCGAGUUCCCUGGAACGGGACGCCACAGAGGGUGAGAGCCCCGUCUGGCUGGCCGCCGAACCUAUGUAAAGCUCCUUCGACGAGUCGAGUAGUUUGGGAAUGCUGCUCAAAAUGGGAGGUAUAUGUCUUCUAAAGCUAAAUACUGGCCAGAGACCGAUAGCGCACAAGUAGAGUGAUCGAAAGAUGAAAAGCACCUUGAAAAGAGGGUUAAAUAGUACGUGAAAUUGUUGAAAGGGAAGCGCUUGUGACCAGACUUGGGCGCGGCGGAUCAUCCGGGGUUCUCCCCGGUGCACUUCGCCGCGUCCAGGCCAGCAUCAGUUCGUCGCGGGGGAAAAAGGCUUCGGGAACGUGGCUCCUCCGGGAGUGUUAUAGCCCGUUGCAUAAUACCCUGCGGUGGACUGAGGACCGCGCAUCUGCAAGGAUGCUGGCGUAA